CAGCUCCUAAACUCCUUGGAAUUUCCUAAGUGGAAACAAUGGAAACAUCUUUUAUUAUAACAUUUGGUCUCUUGUCCUCAGUUCCUGAAAUCAAGCCACUUCAAAGCUGUAAAGAAUACUGAGGCAAUGUUAAAUAAGAAUGGUGAUAAACACGUUUUGAAUCUCAGAGGACUCUUAACUUACUGAAGAACUUACUGAAGAACUGAGGAACUUGCUGAAGGUAAUUUCUUGGCAUAAAUGAGUAAAGGAGCUGUUCUGGGGGAGA